UGGAAGUAUUCACUAGAUAUUCACCAGCGUCCUUUGGCUCCUUUUGUCCAAGUCCAGACCACGUGCAGCAUUCCACCGGGACAGACGUGCGCUCACCUGAAGAUGUGCCUCUCACCUCCUUCUAUCCAAGAAAGAUGGCCCAGAAGAAGAGUUUACAGUAUGAAGAUAAAUGCUAUCAACAACACUGGAUCCUAGCUGUGCAUCCCUCUGAGACAAGAGCUCACCAUCUUUCCUGCUGCUGCCUGGGCCAUGUCAGUCUGCCUACCCCAUCCUCCCUGUGUCCCCAGCAGCUCCUGGGGAGCAUGUGCUGCACAAGGAACAAGAGGCCCUAAUGCAGCGGCCAACCCAAGGCCCUGUCACACAUCCAUGCUCAGUGCAGUUGUGUCGGUGCUGGCACCUGGCCCUGAGGGCAGGGAGCCCUGUGCCAGCCAUGAGCUCUGCGCCAGGAUGUUCUCCUCCAGGCACUCUGCUGGCGUCGCUGUGCUCAGGGCUGCCAAAGCUGCCUGCACGAACAAACACAGAGCUCUGGAACUGCCACCUGGCUGUCUCUCGAGCUCUCUUCUUUUAUUUAUCUCGGUAGCAGCAGCAGCCAAGGUUUGGAGCAGGCUGUGGCAUCAGGAGCUGGAGAAUCGCAGGAACAUCACUGGGCUCAGGUAUCUGCAAAGCCACCACCGACAAAAGGAAGCAAAACAACAACUUGAGGACACUUACGUACAAUGUACAGAGGCUGUGUCUGGAGUAACACAAGUGCUUCUCAGACUCCAAAACCUUUUAUCCCAAAAGCCAGUGUGGUCACCUUUCCAACACACUUUCUGUUCCUAAUUGCAUGACCAGACAAGAAGAAGAUAAAAAGAAAUUUUCAUGUGCGCAUCUCAGGCAUGCAGUGCCUGGCUUUUAGCAGACAGCCUGCAGUGGGGGCUCUAAUGUGAUGCACAUCAUUUGGAGGUGUAUGAGCAAUAGGAAUGACCUGCCAU
rnacentral:lncRNA from 1 species